GAUGAACGCUGGCGGCGUGCUUAACACAUGCAAGUCGAGCGAGAAAAGUUCUUCGGAGCUUUUCUAGCGGCGGACGGGUGAGUAACACGUGGGCAACCUGCCUCAUAGAGGGGAAUAGCCUUCCGAAAGGAAGAUUAAUACCGCAUAACAUUGUUGAAAGGCAUCUUUUAACAAUCAAAGGAGCAAUCCGCUAUGAGAUGGGCCCGCGGCGCAUUAGCUAGUUGUUGAGGUAACGGCUCACCAAGGCGCCGAUGCGUAGCAGACCUGAGAGGGUGAUCGGCCACAUUGGAACUGAGACACGGUCCAGACUCCUACGGGAGGCAGCACUGGGGAAUAUUGCACAAUGGGGGAAACCCUGAUGCAGCAACGCCGCGUGAGUGAUGAAGGUCUUCGGAUUGUAAAACUCUGUCUUUAGGGACGAUAAUGACGGUACCUAAGGAGGAAGCCACGGCUAACUACGUGCCAGCCGCCGCCGUAACAC
rnacentral:rRNA from 1 species